AUCUAGCCCCGAUGGGAGUGGUAUUCUUUUAUGGUGGGGUUCACCAUAAAAGAUAUAGUGGACAGCGGGACAAAAG
rnacentral:sRNA from 3 species